AGGCGUAUGUGAAGACCUCCUUGUUUCCCCACUCUCCAUCUUCUUGUCUCAAGUGGAAAGCCCGCUCGCAGGCAAUUUUGAGUGUUCUCAAGAACCUUGGAGUCGACUUUCUCGGCCUACAGGAAGUUGAUGAGUAUGAGAGCUUUUACAAAGGAAAUAUGGAGAGCAGUGGUUAUUCCAGUACCUACAUUCA